rnacentral:misc_RNA from 1 species
UAUCGGUAGUUUACUGCCGUUUGAAGGGGGUGGAAACUUUCUAGGCCUGCCUAGGGACGAGUACAUCCUGUUCUUAACCCUUGACUUUUUGCGCACUCAUGUUUCCUUGGUGGGUUCGCCCACCACUAGGACAAACAUAAACCUUUUGUAAUUGCAAUCAGCGUCAGUAACAAAUUAAUAAUUACAACUUUCAACAACGGAUCUCUUGGUUCU